rnacentral:tRNA from 1 species
GGGGAUUUAGCUCAGUGGCAUAAGCACCUGCCUUGCAAGCAUGAGGUGAGUUUGAUCCCCA